AGACAAAAACAGGACUCGCAUAAAGCUUUAGAUAAUACCAAUCUUGUUUGCAAUAUCCAGGGCAUCAUAAUCUGGAGUCAGUCGGACAUAAGCCUUCUUUGUUCCAUCAGGCCUGAUCAGGGUGUUCACUUUUUUUGUCUGAAUAUCAUACAUCUUCUUCACAGCAGCUUUAAUCUUCUUCUUGUCAGCUCGGAUGUCAACAAUGAAAACAAGAGUGUUGUUGUCUUCAAUCUUUUUCAUGGCAGACUCAGUGGUCAGUGGAUACUUGAGGAUCUGGUAGUGAUCUAGCUUGUUCCUUGGAGGGGCACUGAUUCUGGGGUACUUGGGGUUUCUAUCCUUCUUCAGGGUCUUGGGACGAUGAAAGGUCACCGAUGUGCGGAUCUUCUUGGCCUUCUUUUGCAGGGUUGAAGCACCAGAUUUCACAGCCUUAGCAACUUUCAAUGCUUGUGCUUUACCAUCAGGCUUCUUGGCAACUUUCGCGGGAGGGGCCAUUUUCUCAAGUGUCAAUUAGCUCCAAUUCGUCCUUAGGCUGCAACGAGCUCCGGUGGCAGCAACGGCGACGGCGGCAAAA
rnacentral:misc_RNA from 1 species